rnacentral:rRNA from 1 species
GACGAACGCUGGCGGCGUGCUUAACACAUGCAAGUCGAGCGGUAAGGCCCUUCGAGGUACACGAGCGGCGAACGGGUGAGUAACACGUGGGUGACCUGCCCUUAGCUCUGGGAUAAGCCUGGGAAACUGGGUCUAAUACCGGAUAUGACCUCAUGACGCAUGUUGUGGGGUGGAAAGCCUUGUGCGGCUAGGGAUGGGCCCGCGGCCUAUCAGCUUGUUGGUGGGGUGAUGGCCUACCAAGGCGACGACGGGUAGCCGGCCUGAGAGGGCGACCGGCCACACUGGGACUGAGACACGGCCCAGACUCCUACGGGAGGCAGCAGUGGGGAAUCUUGCGCAAUGGGCGAAAGCCUGACGCAGCGACGCCGCGUGAGGGAUGACGGCCUGGUGUAA